rnacentral:rRNA from 1 species
GAUGAACGCUGGCGGCGUGCCUAAUACAUGCAAGUCGAGCGAACAGACGAGGAGCUUGCUCCUCUGACGUUAGCGGCGGACGGGUGAGUAACACGUGGAUAACCUACCUAUAAGACUGGGAUAACUUCGGGAAACCGGAGCUAAUACCGGAUAACAUGUUGAACCGCAUGGUUUAACAGUGAAAGACGGUCUUGCUGUCACUUAUAGAUGGAUCCGCGCCGCAUUAGCUAGUUGGUAAGGUAACGGCUUACCAAGGCAACGAUGCGUAGCCGACCUGAGAGGGUGAUCGGCCACACUGGAACUGAGACACGGUCCAGCCUCCUACGGGAGGCAGCAGUAGGGAAUCUUUCGCAAUGGGCGAAAGCCUGACGGAGCAACGCCGCGUGAGUGAAGAAGGUCUUCGGAUCGUAAAACUCUGUUAUUAGGGAAGAACAAAUGUGUAAGUAACUAUGCACGUCUUGACGGUACCUAAUCAGAAAGCCACGGCUAACUACGUG